rnacentral:rRNA from 1 species
UCAAGUGAACAAGGGUCCACGGAGGAUGCCUAGGAGCUGCCAGGCGAAGAAGGACGCGACAAGCUGCGAUAAGCCGCGGGGAGGGGCCAAUACCCGAAGAUCCGCGGAUUUCCGAAUGGGGUAACCCGUAUGUCUGGAUGACAUGCACGUGCAGGUGAAUCAAUAGCCUGUACGGGAGAUACGCUGGGGAGUGAACCAUCUAAGUACCAGCGGGAGUAGAAAUCAAACGAGAUUCCCCCAGUAGCGGCGAGCGAACGGGGAGGAGCCCAAACCGCGCGCCCUCGGGUGCGCGGGGUUGUAGGGAUGCGGCGGGGGCUUGCCCCGUGCAGUCAGAAACCGCAAGCGUAGCGGAACGGACCUGGGAAGGCCGGCCAGAGCGGGUGAAAGCCCCGUACGCGAAACGCUUGCGGCUGCAUGGCCGCGUUGCCUGAGUACGGCGGGACACGAGAAAUCCUGCCGGAAACAGGGGGGACCACCCUCCAAGGCUGAAUACUCGGCAGCUACCGAUAGCGCAUAGUACCGUGAGGGAAAGGUGAAAAGGACCCCGGGAGGGGAGUGAAAGAGAACCUGAAACCGUGGACCUACAAGCGGUCAGAGCCGGGGCGACCCGGUGAUGGCGUGCCUUUUGUAGAAUGAGCCUGCGAGUUACCGUAUGCAGCGAGGUUAAGGGAUAGGAGUCCCGGAGCCGUAGGGAAACCGAGUCUGAACAGGGCGGCAGUUGCGUGCGGUAGACCCGAAGCCAAGUGAUCUAUCCGCGUCCAGGCUGAAACCUGAGUAAAAUCAGGCGGAGGGCCGAACCUAAAUCCGCUGAAAAGGGUUGGGAUGAGGUGCGGAUCGGAGUGAAAGGCUAAACAAACUUGGAGAUAGCUGGCACUCCCCGAAAUAGCUUUAGGGCUAGCCUUGCACGGACCGCCGCGGAGGUAAAGCACUGGAUGGAUGCGGGCCCUUCACCGGGUACCAAGUUCAACCAAACUCAGAAUGCCGGGACGAAAUAUGCGGGAGUCAGACUACGGCUGAUAAGGGCCGUGGUCGAGAGGGAAACAGCCCGGACCGCCGGCUAAGGUCCCCAAGACGCGCCAAGUGGGAAAGGAAGUGCGAUUGCAGAGACAGCCAGGAGGUUGGCUUAGAAGCAGCCAUACCUUCAAAGAGUGCGUAACAGCUCACUGGUCGAGUAGUCGUGCGCCGACAAUGUAACGGGGCUAAGCGCGUCACCGAAGCCGCGGCACAGCGCGAGACGCUGUGGGUAGGGGAGCAUUCCGCGUACGGACGAAGGCAGGGCGGGAGCCUUGCUGGACGGAGCGGAAGAGAGGAUGCAGGCAUGAGUAACGAAAAGACGGGUGGGAUCCCCGUCCGCCGAAAGCCCGAGGUUUCCAGGGUAAAGGCAAUCUUCCCAAGGGUCAGUCGGCCCCUAAGGCGAGGCUGAAGAGCGUAGCCGAUGGGAAACGGGUCAACAUUCCCGUACCGCUUCCUGUUUCGAAGGAACGACGCAUAGGGCGAAGCGCGGCCGGGCGACGGUAGUCCCGGUCCAAGCGCCAACCCGACGAGGCCGCCAGGCAAAUCCGGCGGCCGAGGCGAGGCGCGAGUGCGAGCCGAGCUACGGCGAGGCGAAGCGCGUGGAGUCGUCGUGCCGAGAAAGAGUUUCUCAGGACAGGCAGGAAGCGACCGUACCGAAAACCGACACAGGUGGGCGAGCUGAGAAUGCUCAGGCGCACGGAAGAACUCGCGUCAAGGAACUCGGCAACAUACAUACGUAACUUCGGGAGAAGUAUGGCCGCUGGGGGCGAAAGUUCCCGGCGGCUGCAGAGAAACGGCCCAAGCGACUGUUUACCAAAAACACAGGUCCAUGCGAACCAGCGAUGGGAGGUAUAUGGACUGACACCUGCCCGGUGCUGGAAGGUUAAGAGGAGUCGUCAGCGCAAGCGAAGCGGUGAAUUGAAGCCCCAGUAAACGGCGGCCGUAACUAUAACGGUCCUAAGGUAGCGAAAUUCCUUGUCGGG